rnacentral:rRNA from 1 species
UACGUAGGGGGCAAGCGUUGUCCGGAUUUAUUGGGCGUAAAGAGCGUGUAGGCGGCCAUGUAGGUCCGUUGUGAAAACUCGAGGCUCAACCUCGAGACGCCGAUGGAAACCAUGUGGCUAGAGUCCGGAAGAGGAGAGUGGAAUUCCUGGUGUAGCGGUGAAAUGCGCAGAUAUCAGGAAGAACACCCGUGGCUAAGGCGGCUCUCUAGUACGGUACUGACGCUGAGACGCGAAAGCGUGGGGAUCAAACAGG